rnacentral:rRNA from 1 species
AUUGAACGCUGGCGGCAGGCCUAACACAUGCAAGUCGAGCGGAUGAAGGGAGCUUGUUCCUGGAUCCCGCGUCGCACGGGGGAGUAAUGCCUAUGAAUCUGCUUGGUAUUGGGGUAUAACGUCCGGAGACGGGUGCUAAUACUACCUACUUCCUGAGGCAGAUAGUGGGGGAUCUUCGGACCUCACCGUCGCAGAGGGACCUAGGUCGGAUUAGCUAGUUGGUGGGGUAAAGGGCUACCAAGGCGGCGAUCCGUAACUGGUCUGAGAGGAUGAUCAGUCACACUGGAGCUGAGACACGGUCCAGACUACUACGGGAGGCAGCAGUGGGGAAUAUUGGACAAUGGGCGAAAGCCUGAUCCAGCCAUGCCGCGUGUGUGAAGAAGGUCUUCGGAUUGUAAAGCACUUUAAGUUGGGAGGAAGGGCAGUAAGUUAAUACCUUGCUGUUUUGACGUUACCAACAGAAUAAGCACCGGCUAACUUCGUG